UACGGGGGGGCAAGCGUUGUUCGGAAUUACUGGGCGUAAAGGGCUCGUAGGCGGCCAACUAAGUCAGACGUGAAAUCCCUCGGCUUAACCGGGGAACUGCAUCUGAUACUGGAUGGCUUGAGUUCGGGAGAGGGAUGCGGAAUUCCAGGUGUAGCGGUAGAAAUGACGUAGAUAUCUGGAGGAACACCGGUGGCGAAGGCGGCAUCCUGGACCGGCAUUGACGCUGAGGAGCGAAAGCCAGGGGAGCAAAGCGGG
rnacentral:rRNA from 1 species